GCUUAACCGAAGAAGUGCAUCGGAAACUGGGUAACUUGAGUGCAGAAGAGGACAGUGGAACUCCAUGUGUAGCGGUGGAAUGCGUAGAUAUAUGGAAGAACACCAGUGGCGAAGGCGGCUGUCUGGUCUGCAACUGACGCUGAGGCUCGAAAGCAUGGGUAGCGAACAGGAUUAGAUACCCUGGUAGUCCAUGCCGUAAACGAUGAGUGCUAGGUGUUGGAGGGUUUCCGCCCUUCAGUGCCGGAGCUAACGCAUUACGCACUCCGCCUGGGGAGUACGACCGCAAGGUUGAAACUCAAAGGAAUUGACGGGGGCCCGCACAAGCGGUGGAGCAUGUGGUUUAAUUCGAAGCAACGCGAAGAACCUUACCAGGUCUUGACAUACCAUGAAAAGCUAAGAGAUUAGUCUUUCCCUUCGGGGACAUGGAUACAGGUGGUGCAUGGUUGUCGUCAGCUCGUGUCGUGAGAUGUUGGGUUAAGUCCCGCAACGAGCGCAACCCUUAUUAUCAGUUGCCAGCAUUCAGUUGGGCACUCUGGUGAGACUGCCGGUGACAAACCGGAGGAAGGUGGGGACGACGUCAAAUCAUCAUGCCCCUUAUGACCUGGGCUACACACGUGCUACAAUGGUCGGUACAACG
rnacentral:rRNA from 1 species